UGGGGAAUAUUGCACAAUGGGCGCAAGCCUGAUGCAGCAACGCCGCGUGAGGGACGACGGCCUUCGGGUUGUAAACCUCUUUUGGCAGGGAAGAAGCGAAAGUGACGGUACCUGCAGAAGAAGCACCGGCUAACUACGUGCCAGCAGCCGCGGUGAUACGUAGGGUGCAAGCGUUGUCCGGAAUUAUUGGGCGUAAAGAGCUCGUAGGCGGUUUGUCGCGUCUGCUGUGAAAACCCGAGGCUCAACCUCGGGCCUGCAGUGGGUACGGGCAAACUAGAGUGCGGUAGGGGAGAUUGGAAUUCCUGGUGUAGCGGUGGAAUGCGCAGAUAUCAGGAGGAACACCGAUGGCGAAGGCAGAUCUCUGGGCCGUAACUGACGCUGAGGAGCGAAAGCAUGGGGAGCGAACA
rnacentral:rRNA from 1 species